UCUCUCUCUUUCUUUCUUUCUUUCUUUCUUUCUUUCUUUCUUUCUUUCCUUCUCUCUUUUUUAAGUUAAUGAAAGCCAAUAGGAACAAUUGUUUUUCGUCCUCAUCUCCAAGUGUUAUACGCACAACAUCCCAGGACCUGCUCAGCAACCUUGUUUGUUCACAGGCAGGUUACUAGGCCAGGGGGUGAUUGGGUGCUGCUGAAGGUAACUGUGGCUCAGUCACAGGGAAGUAGCAGGAGUGUGCUCACGUCCAGGGCCAGAGUCCUUGCUACCAGCAUCUGGCAGCUUUCAACAAAGACAAACAGCCAACAUGGAAUGUCAAAGCCAUGUACUUCUUGGCUUUUGUCUUUCUCCAUGAACUAUAAACUCAUCAUUUGUACAGGACCAGCUGUUUAGGUGCCGGGCUUCACUUGAUCCUCAGAGGGACAAUAAGCCUGUGGAACCUUACUCCAAAAGGGAAGGGUCGUUGGCCAGAGGGACCGAGGAGAAGACAGGGUUAACAGAGCUAAAGGUCUCUGGGUGAUGAGUAUAGAUACACAACCACAGCCUCAACACAGACUCUCAGUCAUCCAUCAUCAUAACAAAUGUACUUAAGUGUUAGAAGGAAAGCAGUGAACCCUCCGUGCAGAAGGUGUGCAAGCUGAGACACAGUCUAAAUGUGUCAGACUAUGGUCUGCCAAGGACACACAUCGCAGGAGGCCGGUGCUGUGCGGCUUCUUGGGUGUUUUUCCAGUGCCCAUAGUAUUCCAGCAGAUCCCCUAAGGGCAGCCUCCCCACCCCCAGCCCCGCCAUCCUGAGUGGAAAUUUCUCUGUGAAGUUGUAGUCUGUUGAAGUUGCAGUCUGUUGGUUCAUAACAACACCCCACCCCACCCCCGACACGCCCCAAUUGUACCUCCAUGCCUAGAGUCAACUUCCCUCACCUUCCCAUUGGCCCAUGACCUCCCCUGGGAAACAAUGGAGGCCUUUCUUUGCUCUGAGAAGUCCGAGCAGAUCCUACCCUGUGAGGCCGUUUGAUAAUCAUCAUUAGUAUCAUUUACAGGUUGCUUCAGUGGGUUUUCUAGUCCUUAUUUACUGGGUAUUUUUCCCAGAGGGUCUUUGCCUCCUGCACUGGCUAGGUUCACUGUGAGGGAUAGAAAGUGUGGCAUCUGUCCCUUCAGAUGGAUCCUUGUACCUCAACAAUAAAAAAAAAAUCACCUAUGAGGAGAAAUGUGCAUAGGGUUGUAAGCAACCUUUUGUGCCAGGUUAGUUGGUUCACUGGUUCAGAUCUGGAAUUACAGGCUAUUCAUCAGCGCCUGGACCUCUGGGGGGAGGCCUAAGUGAGAGCAGGUAUUUUCCCAGUGGGUCACAGUGUACCUACAGUGAUCUACCUGAGCGAACAAUGGAGCACUUCUUGAUUUCUCCAUCUCUCUCCUUAGAUGGGACAAGGAGGGAGGAAGGAAGGAAUUUAUUUGGGUACUUGGCUCUUUUUCUUAUCUUCUCUGUGGUGUUUCAGUUACCCUACUUUACUUCCAUUUCAAUAGAUGAUGGGCUACUGGCUACUGUUAUACUGGGCUUUGAGUGUCAUACAUACAUACAUACAUACAUACAUACACACACACACAUACACACAUACUCACAUACAUACAUCUAAUAUAUGUAUAUAUUAGAUAUAUAUACACACGCACAUACACACACACACACACACACACACACACACACACACACACACACAGAUAGUACCAAGGCUCAGAGUUAUGUUGAGGAUCUGAGAACAAGCAACUGAACCCAUUAAGAUGCAGGCUAGAGUCAAUACAUGGACAGUAGGCAGGGGAAGUGACAAAAGAACCCUUAGGUCAGAAGACAGGAUGGGUCCACUGUCCUGACACCUUUCAAGAGUGGGUGUCACCCAAAGUGUGCAAUGAAGUCAGGGCUUUCUUUUCUGAGAGGAAGAAACCAGGACAUCUAAAUACUAGUGUAGUUGAUUGGGGGUCAAGAAGUACCCCCUGAAGAGAGUAUGUGCCACUUCCAGGCAACUAUGGUUUUAGAAGGCUCUUCUGUAUUUUGUAAUUAUCAUCGCCUCCCUAAUUAGGGGGAUGUGGCCACCCAGAGCUGUAGGACCCUUUGGGAGAUGCCUCUAAGUCCCCUGAGUCUAGUUGACUUUGAGAAGCAAGAGACAAAAAUUGGCUCAUUUUUUCACGUCUAUCUUUUUGGGGGGGUCCUGUUUAUGCUUGGGGGUUCUAUAUAUGCCCGGGGGGACCUGUAUAUGCUUGGAGGAGUCAUUUUUUAUGCUUACCUAGAUUUUUAAUUUGUUGAUAUUUUAUCACCUGUAAUAAUCUCCAAUCUGAAAAGGAAAUUUCAUUGAGGUAUUUGACAAACAUAUAUAACUCUCAUUUUACAUGUAUUACACCUUAAUAAAAUAUUAUAUUUAGUAAUUGUAUAUUAAUAUUAGUCUUGAACAAUAAAUCUUUAGCAAUCGGUCCUAGACGGAUUUAUAAUGUGUAUCACCCUGAGGCAUCUUAACCAACUCUCAGCAUUUUUAUUUUCUAUUUUUAGCCAUUUAUUACACACAUGAAAUAAUUAAAAAAAAAAAACCUGUUGUAUAAAAAAGUCAUUAUCUCUUUAUCAAUGUUAAAUUUUAUAACCUAAUAAAACUUUAUCUUGGGACCCUCAGAGAAGGUUGUUUUAUAUGAACAAGUAUCAUUUUAAGUUUUUAUGAAGCAUUUAACACACCCACACAUAUAUUUUGGUAAGCUUUAAGAAGUGAAGAUUAUCUUAGUUCACAAGCAUGUAUUUACGAGGCCUUUUUUACUUGUAUUCAUCAGCACAUACAUACCACAUUUUAAAGUUUUAUCAAGAACAAGCAAGUUAAAG
rnacentral:lncRNA from 1 species